UACAGGGGGUGCAAACGUUGCUCGGAAUUAUUGGGCGUAAAGCGCGCGUAGGCGGCUAUCUAAGUCGGAUGUGAAAGCCCCUGGCUUAACUGGGGAAGUGCACCCGAAACUGGGUAGCUAGAGUGCGAAAGAGGGUCGCGGAAUUCCCGGUGUAGAGGUGAAAUUCGUAGAUAUCGGGAGGAACACCGGUGGCGAAGGCGACUCUUUGGCCUGUAACUGACGCUGAGGCGCGAAAGCGUGGGGAGCAAACAGG
rnacentral:rRNA from 1 species